rnacentral:rRNA from 1 species
UACGUAGGGGGCAAGCGUUGUCCGGAUUUAUUGGGCGUAAAGAGCGUGUAGGCGGCCUGAAAGGUCGGCUGUGAAACCUCGGGGCUCAACCCCGAGCCUGCAGUCGAUACGGGCAGACUAGAGUUCGGCAGGGGAGACUGGAAUUCCUGGUGUAGCGGUGAAAUGCGCAGAUAUCAGGAGGAACACCGGUGGCGAAGGCGGCUCACUGGACCACAACUGACGCUGAGGCGCGAAAGCUAGGGGAGCAAACAGG